GGGUUCAGGAUUUUAAAUGGGGGAAGUUUCCAUUGAGCCUUCUAAGUGCAGGGAGCAAGCAUCCCGGGCCACCAUCUGUGGCCCAAAAGGUUUUUUAAGGGGCAAGAAUCCUUUUCUUGGCUUCUGCAGUCAGUCUCCUUGCCAGUGACAACAUCAGGGCAGCAGUGGAAAAAGACACGCUUUCAGUUCCUGGAUAAAGUGUCUUCACCGUCUUGGCAAGUUGCCAGAGUGAGCAGGGAGGAACACAGGUGUGUCUCGGUGGCUGGAGAACUCAGCCAGGACGACGCCCAAUUUGGAACUGCACCGAAGCUGAGCCCUGCCUUGCACGGCUGAAGCUUAGCCACAGAGGCGGAACUUCCCUGGCUUUUCCUGGAAGCGGAAGCCGUGAAAUGGCCAAAGCACAAGACAGGGUGGUGCAGUUUUGCUCCGGCGCGAUCACCGUUGGCCACGCGCCUCGGUCUCUAUCUGUAAAAGAGAUCCCCAUCUCUGGUAUUUGAUGCUGGAGAGAAAAAUGUGCGGCCUCCGCCCAACCUUGAGUUUCCUGCUCCACCGCGCCCUCUCGUGGUUAACUGGACUCACGGCUUUCUCG
rnacentral:lncRNA from 1 species